GAUGGCAAAGAGAAACCUCACUGGCAUAUGGAACUUCACGAAUCCUGGAGUGGUUAGCCAUAACGAGAUCCUGGAGAUGUACCGUGACUAUAUUGACCCAAGCUUCAAGUGGAACAACUUCACAAUCGAGGAGCAAUCGGAGGUCAUUAUCGCUCCACGAAGCAACAAUGAGCUCGAUGCUUCAAAAUUGAGCAAGGAAUUCCCUGAAAUGAAGUCCAUCAAGGAGUCCCUCAUUGAGAAUGUCUUCAAGCCAAAUAGGAAGACACCAGUAGCUUGAAGAUUUAGAGAAAAGAUCCAAUUUUUACAUGAUUUUUCUUUGUCUUGUUCAAUGAACCAACUAUGUUUUCAGUUCUAAUAUUUGGGGUUGGCUUUCUCUCUUCUCUCUUCACUAUUUCUGAUUUUCGGUAUCUUUUUCCUUUAUUGUUGUAUUUGAGUGUUGUAACGGUAU
rnacentral:misc_RNA from 1 species